AUUGGAGGGCAAGUCUGGUGCCAGCAGCCGCGGUAAUUCCAGCUCCAAUAGCGUAUAUUAAAAUUGUUGCAGUUAAAAAGCUCGUAGUUGAAUUUCUGCUGCAUUACAUAUCUCUUGUUUGAAUUUGUUUUUGUGGCUUAUUUCGGUUUGAUUUUUUCUUUCCGGAUGAUUACUUUGAGAAAAUUAGAGUGCUCAAAGCAGGCUUUUGCCUUGAAUAGUUUAGCAUGGAAUAAUAAAGUAGGACUUUGGUUCUAUUUUGUUGGUUUUAGGUACCAAAGUAAUGGUUAAUAGGAACAGUUGGGGGCAUUCGUAUUUAACUGUCAGAGGUGAAAUUCUUAGAUUUGUUAAAGACGAACUACUGCGAAAGCAUUUGCCAAGGAUGUUUUCAUUAAUCAAGAACGAAAGUUAGGGGAUCGAAGACGAUCAGAUACCGUCGUAGUCCUAACCAUAAACUAUGCCGACUAGAGAUUGGAGGUCGUCAGUUUUUACGACUCCUUCAGCACCUUG
rnacentral:rRNA from 1 species